rnacentral:rRNA from 1 species
UUCCGGUUGAUCCUGCCGGAGGCCAUUGCUAUCGGAGUCCGAUUUAGCCAUGCUAGCCGCACGGGUUAGACCCGUGGCGAAUAGCUCAGUAACACGUGGCCAAACUGCCCUGUAGACCGGUACAACCUCGGGAAACUGAGGCUAAUGCCGGAUGCGACUCUCAGUCUGGAGUGACGAGAGUCAGAAACGCUACGGCGCUACAGGAUGUGGCUGCGGCCGAUUAGGUAGACGGUGGGGUAACGGCCCACCGUGCCGAUAAUCGGUACGGGUUGUGAGAGCAAGAGCCCGGAGACGGUAUCUGAGACAAGAUACCGGGCCCUACGGGGCGCAGCAGGCGCGAAAACUUUACACUGCACGACAGUGCGAUAAGGGGACUCCGAGUGCGAGGUCAUAUAGUCCUCGCUUUUCUGAACCGUAAGGUGGUUCAGGAACAAGAGCUGGGCAAGACCGGUGCCAGCCGCCGCGGUAAUACCGGCAGCUCGAGUGAUGGCCGCUAUUAUUGGGCCUAAAGCGUCCGUAGCCCGCCGAACGAGUCCAUCGGGAAAUCCACGCGCUCAACGCGUGGGCGGCCGGUGGAUACUGUUCGGCUUGGGGCCAAGAGACCCGAGGGGUACGUCCGGGGUAGGAGUGAAAUCCUAUAAUCCUGGACGGACCACCGGUGGCGAAAGCGCCUCGGGAGAAUGGACCCGACGGUGAGGGACGAAAGCUAGGGUCACGAACCGGAUUAGAUACCCGGGUAGUCCUAGCUGUAAACGAUGCCCGCUAAGUAUGGCACACGCUACGAGCGCGUGCUGUGCUGUAGUGAAGACGAGAAGCGGGCCGCCUGGGAAGUACGUCCGCAAGGAUGAAACUUAAAGGAAUUGGCGGGGGAGCACUACAACCGGAGGAGCCUGCGGUUUAAUUGGAUUCAACGCCGGG